AAACUCUUAUCGAUUAAGUUAUUCUAGGGUGCCAACUAUCUGUUCUGCAUUUCUUUUGUCAGUCUCUAGCUUUCCUCAGGAUCAAUUGUCCCUUGUGAUAUCAGAAAUUGAAAGCCAUAUUUUCUGAUCUGUAUUUGUUAACUUCAUUUCUAAGAGGUCUAUUGUCUAAAUUAAGUUUUAAAUGGUCCCAUAUAGUCGCCGGUCAAAAUUCCCCAACUUUCUGAAGGCAUGUGAUGUUCAUAUUAGAUGCCCUGUUUUUGUCAGAUCUCUAGAGGCCACGCUCCUAUAUUAUAAGUUUAUAACUAACUUGUUCUGGAUUUUCAACUGCUGAAUCUUUAUUAUCCUUUUCCAGUUUCUUCUCAAAUUUAUUCCCCAUAAAUGGCUGGAGAGUUCCAGUAAGAACAACUCAAGAUUAGGAGAAGGAAAACCGUCAAACUUAGCAUAGCUGCACCAGGCUGGCAAGGAGGUGUGGCACUGGAGGAUAACCCACUAGGAUUUCUGUAUGACUGCUGACUGUGAAAUGUAGCCAUUACAGAUGGUUUUGCUGGUUGAGUUGUUGAUAUGAGUAGCACUGAGGUACUCCUGUUCCUCAUGUUCUCAUUUGGUUUGUACUGUCUAGGUUUGUUUAUCUUUCACUCGUUUUUCUGCUUUACGUAGGACAUUUUAAGAAGUUGCAACUCAAAGGUAACUGAGGACUGUUUGCCUCAGCUUGCCAGUGCAGAGAAUGGAAAGCUCACUUCAGAGUCGUAGGCUCAGCUCUUCUAGUCAGAGAAGAGUCCAGUUGCAAACCUGUGCACUCCUAUCCUAUUGUUGCUUCUAUCACAAUAAGGAAUCGUGUGGUUCUUUCAUCCCCUCGUGGCAAUAACACCACCAGAAGCCCAUUAUUGGCUUUUACACACGGGUCCGCUCCCUUGUCAUUGGCGAGCAUGCUUUGACAUGUGAUGUCAGCUAUGAUGAUUUCUUCUUGUCGACAUAUACUUAUUCAAGAUUUGCUGAACUUCCUCACCCAUCCUAACUUACUCCUUGCUCUGGGAUCUAAAGAGUUUAUGGCAUCCUUGGUGGUGGAUAUGUUUCUUCGGCGGGGUCGGUGCAAGUAUGGUUCGUGGAUGAAGUAUAGUUGAGUCUAAAGUUUUCAGAUAUUUCAGUCCUCGAUUGAGCAACAAGGAUUAAAGAAGAUGCACAGCUGGCAUUCUAUUAUGGAAUUUCCUUGACCAUCAGCUGAUCGAAGCUAGAGCAUUAUUAAGCAAUGACAUCCAGCAGAUUCUGUAAAGGUAUCUUGGUAUCUAACAUGGUUUGUCUUCAGCCAGCACCACCAAUUCAUGUCAAGCUAUUUGGUUUAAGGUCAUAACUCUAAAGGAAGUCAAACUUCUUUUGAAGGCCCAACCAGCAGAGAGACAACUGUUUUUAUGAUUCAGGCAUUGGUUGGAAUAGGAUUGGAUCUUAAUUCAGUUCAAGGCCAAAAUUUCUACAUACAUGUGUCUGAAGAUAUCCUUGCUAGUCUUCUGCGCAUCUCCUCAAUUGCAUAUGAGGUAAUCGCUUGAGGAACAAAUGUUAUGGCGGCACAAACAUACAGUAGCAACUUUAACAAAAGAAAGGUCAAGAAUUUGAAGCCUUGCACUUACUGUGAUAAGGAAGCCUAUACAAGUGGAUGCUUAUUGGUUUCUUCAUGUCAAACCUCCACAUACCAACCGAUGUAUCCAUCACACUGGCAACUUGGAUCAGGGAAGGAAGACACUCACAACUACCCCGCUCGUGGCUAGAGUUUUCUUUAAAUUUUCAAGGAGUUGGUGAGUCCUCAUUCUACCAAGGACAAGACUUGUAUUCACGUUACUAUUAUUGAGUUAUUUCUUUUAUUGUUAGGGUGAGGUAGGAGCUUGUCUUAAGCCCCCGUCAAAGAUUAAAAUAGAGGCAUGUUAGACAAUCUUCAUUGGUGUAGUUCGGUUUGGACAUUUAUGGAGUUGACUUUCCUUAGUCCCAUUCACUACUUGUGGAUUACUUCU